rnacentral:rRNA from 1 species
CGCCUGUUUAUCAAAAACAUGUCCUUUAGUGAGAUAUUAAAGGUCUAUUCUGCCCAAUGAUAUUUUAAUGGCCGCGGUAAAUUGACCAUGCAAAGGUAGCAUAAUAAUUAGUCUUUUAAUUGGAGGCUUGUAUGAAUGAAUGGAUGAAAAAUUUUCUUUUUUAAUUAAAAUAGAUUGAAUUUAGAGUUUAAGUAAAAAAUCUUAAAUAAAUAAGUGGGACGAGAAGACCCUAUAGAAUUUUAAAUAAAUUUGUUUUACUAGAAUUUAGAAUUAAUAACUGAAAAAUUACUUUAUUUUUUGUUGGGGUGACAUUAUAAUAAAUAAAACUUUAAAUGAAUUUUUCAUAAAUUAAUGUUUAAUUGAUCCAAUUUUUUUGAUUAUAAGAUUAAAUUACCUUAGGGAUAACAGCGUUAUUAGUUUGGAGAGUUCAUAUCGAUAAAUUAGAUUGCGACCUCGAUGUUGGAUUAAGAAAAGAGUUUAGAGCAAAAUCUAAAUAUUCUAGGUCUGUUCGACCUUUAAUUUCUUACAUGAUCUGAGUUCAAACCGGAG